GUCUUGAAAAUUAAAGAAGAUGGCGGUACUUUAGUCUAUUUAGAGGAACCUGUCCUGUAAUUGAUGAUCCACGAUUUAAUAUACUUAUUUUAUAUUAAUUUACAUAUCGCCGUAGGUUGAAUAUUUUUAUGAAAUUGUAAUGUUCAAUAAGUUUUUUAAGAAAAGAAUUCAGGUCAAGAUGUAGUUUAUAGAUAAGAAGAGAUGGGUUACAAUAAAUUUAUUUAUGAUGGAUUGAUAAAUUAAAAUUUAUUAUGAAGGUGGAUUUAAUGGUAAUUUUAUUUAAAUUUAUAAAAUGAUUUUAGCUCUAAAGUAUGUACAUAUCGCCCGUCGCUUUCACUAUAAAGUGGAAUAAGUCGUAACAGAGUAGAUGUACUGGAAAGUGUUUCUGGAAAAUCAAAUUAGAGCUAGGGAAAGUAUUUUAGUUACAUUAAAAAGUUUAUUGUAAAAUCAAUAUAAUUUGAAUUAAGAAUUUUAUUAUAAAAAGUUUAGUUUAAUUUUUAUUAAAAGAAAAAUAUUUUAUUUUUAUUAAAAUUUUUGAAAUAAUUAUUUUAUUUAUUAUAGAAAAAUAGUAUUGUGAGAGAAUAAUUUUAAAUUUAAAAAAGAAGAAUUAAUUUUUUGUACCUGGGUAUCAGGGUUUAUUAAAAUAAAAUUUAAUUAUUUAAUUUCUCGAAUUAAUAAAAGGUGAUAAUUAUAUUUAUAUUUUUGUGGCAUAAAAAUUUUAAAUAUAAUUAUAGAAGUGAAACGCUAUUCGAUUAUUAAUAUAUCUAGUUUUUAAAGAAAAAAAUUGAAUUUUAUUAUUAAUUUAAUAAAAAAUUAAAUUUUUAAUUUUUUAUUGUUUGUAUUUUAUGUUUUAAGGGAUGAGCUUUAAAAUUGAUUAUUUUAAAAUAAUAAUUUGUCUUAUUUAGUAGGAUUGUAAGUUUUUAUCUUUAUAAGUGUGUUGUAACUUUAUUAGUAGUAUAUAUGAUUUAUAUUAUUUUGAAUUUUUUUAUUUAAAUGAAAAUUAAAAUUUUUAUUAUUUUGUAAUAAUGAUAAAAUUAGUAUAAAUUUAUGUAGAUUUAUGUUUGAGAUUAAGGUUUUAUAAAGGAAUUCGGCAAAUAUAUUUUUCACCUGUUUAUUAAAAACAUGGCUUUUUGAUAAUAAUUUAAGGUCUGGCCUGCCCAAUGAGGAAUUAAAUGGCCGCGGUAUUUUGACCGUGCAAAGGUAGCAUAAUCAUUAGUUUUUUAAUUGAAAGCUGGAAUGAAAGGUUGGAUGAGAAAAUAGCUGUCUCUAUAAAAAUUUUUUAGAAUUUUAUUUUUAAGUAAAAAAGCUUAAAUAAUAAUUGAAGACGAGAAGACCCUAUAGAGUUUUAUUGUUUAGUAAAAAGGUAAAUUUAGAAUUAAU
rnacentral:rRNA from 1 species